UACUAUUAUAACUGUGUUACCUAUGAAAGCUUGUGGGAGAAGCCAGAGGAGUUUGCCCUGUUUGAGCAACAACUAAAGCAGGAAAAGCUUCAAAAACCGAACCAUCAGCCUCAUUCUUCAUUAGCAGGUCUCUCUUCUCCAGAAGUGUUGCCUCAGCCAAAUCUCUUCAGCCAAAAACUUGAAGUCCAAUUUUCCUCAGCUGUACGAGAGUUGGAUUGUAUGCGACUUCAAUCAAAACCAAGUCCUGUUGUUAGUCCAGCCUGUGUUUAACAAUGUUGUCUAAGCUAUUAGGAAGGUUAUUUAAGAUGCUUUGAAGUUUUCUCCGUUG
rnacentral:misc_RNA from 1 species